rnacentral:rRNA from 1 species
UGGGCAACCUGCCCCUCUCUCUGGGAUAACCCCGGGAAACCGGAGCUAAUACCGGAUACUCUCGGCCAAUCACAUGGCUGGCCGAGGAAAGGUCCGCCGGUCAGGGAUGGGCCCGCGGCCUAUCAGCUUGUUGGCGAGGUAACGGCUCACCAAGGCGACGACGGGUAGCUGGUCUGAGAGGACGACCAGCCACACUGGAACUGAGAUACGGCCCAGACUCCUACGGGAGGCA